rnacentral:rRNA from 1 species
GAUGAACGCUGGCGGCGUGCCUAAUACAUGCAAGUCGAGCGAACAGGCGAGGAGCUUGCUCCUUUGACGUUAGCGGCGGACGGGUGAGUAACACGUAGGUAACCUACCUAUAAGACUGGGAUAACUUCGGGAAACCGGAGCUAAUACCGGAUAAUAUUUCGAACCGCAUGGUUCGAUAGUGAAAGAUGGCUUUGCUAUCACUUAUAGAUGGACCUGCGCCGUAUUAGCUAGUUGGUAAGGUAACGGCUUACCAAGGCAACGAUACGUAGCCGACCUGAGAGGGUGAUCGGCCACACUGGAACUGAGACACGGUCCAGACUCCUACGGGAGGCAGCAGUAGGGAAUCUUCCGCAAUGGGCGAAAGCCUGACGGAGCAACGCCGCGUGAGUGAUGAAGGUCUUCGGAUCGUAAAACUCUGUUAUUAGGGAAGAACAAACGUGUAAGUAACUGUGCACGUCUUGACGGUACCUAAUCAGAAAGCCACGGCUAACUACGU